rnacentral:rRNA from 1 species
CCUACGGGUGGCAGCAGUAGGGAAUAUUGCUCAAUGGGGGAAACCCUGAAGCAGCAACGCCGCGUGGAGGAAGAAGGUUCUCGGAUUUUAAACCCCCUUUGUUAGAGAAGUAAAUGACGGUAUCUAACGAAUAAGCACCGGAUAACUCUAUGCCAGCAGCCGCGGUAAUAGGGAGGGUGCAAGCGUUACUCGGAAUCACUGGGCGUAAAGGGGGCGUAGGCGGGUUGGCAAGUCAGAUGUGAAAUUCUAGGGCUUAACCAGAGAACUGCAUUUGAAACUGGUAAUCUAGAGUAUGGGAGAGGUAGGUGGAAUGCUUGGUGUAGGGGUGAAAUGCGUAGAGAUCAAGAAGAAUACUCAUUGCGAAGGCGGCCUGCUAGAACAUAACUGACGCUGAGGCACGAAAGCGUGGGGAGCAAACAGGAUUAGAUACCCGAGUAGUC